CAGUGAUAAUUGUACAAAAUAUUGUAUUUUCCUCAUCUCUGAGAUUCUGGAUGUGUAGUUAUGGUAGUAGUCUUCUUUACCAUUAUAUGAGAAAGUUACAAAUUCUUUUGUCUUUUUCCAUUUUCAUGCAACCCUAGAUAUGCAGAAUUGGAAGUCAAAAAAGACAUACAAAACGAGUGUGCCCGGAGAGGUGUUAGAGGUAUCCUGCAGUACACCUGUGCAACCAGCACCUCACAGACCAGUGAAGAGACAACCCUUCCAUGGCCAGAUGGAAAGAUCCAUAUUGGGGGUGGAGCCUACAUUUCUGCAGGGACCUGGAGCUGGAUUAGAGGAGCCAAAAAUGACUCCCGGUUCUGCAAGAACCUUGCCGUAGCCAUCUGGGUCCAGACUCAAAGGCCAAGGAGCUGUUGCCAAACCUCCCCUCACUCCUGA